UGGUUGCACAUUCUGAAAGACAGAGA
rnacentral:piRNA from 2 species